GUACCGCCUUAACUGUCGAGCCAAUUUUGAUGAAUGAUGUUUAAAUCGAUUUGUUAUUAUAAUCCGGAUGACAUAGGCUAUAUUUUAUACGAAAAAAAUUGAUCUAACAGAUGUUACAUCAAAAAAGUGGGGUCUCCAAAAUUUUUUAAUGCUAUUGUACCGAGUGAGAUGUCUAACGAAAAAGGAGAAAAUUCUGAGUUCAUGAAUGUUAAUUUAUUACAACAUUAAAAUAUACCAAUCGACAGA